AAUUAAGAGUUUGAUCCUGGCUCAGGAUGAACGCUGGCGGCGUGCCUAACACAUGCAAGUCGAGCGAGAUACUGAUUUUCAAAGUUUUCGGAUGGAGAUGUUCAGUGGAAAGCGGCGGACGGGUGAGUAACGCGUAGGCAACCUACCCUUGACUCAGGGAUAGCCAUCGGAAACGGUGAUUAAUACCUGAUAACGCGCGAGAGUUUCAUGACUCUUUCGCCAAAGUUUUUUCGGUCAGGGAUGGGCCUGCGUCUGAUUAGGUAGUUGGUGGGGUAACGGCUCACCAAGCCUACGAUCAGUAGCCGACCUGAGAGGGUGAUCGGCCACAUUGGAACUGAGACACGGUCCAGACUCCUACGGGAGGCAGCAGUGGGGAAUAUUGCACAAUGGGCGCAAGCCUGAUGCAGCCAUGCCGCGUGAGUGAUGAAGGUCCUAUGGACUGUAAAGCUCUGAUCUGGGGGAAGAUAAUGACGGUACCCCAGGAGAAAGCCCCGGCUAACUCCGUGCCAGCAGCCGCGGUAAUACGGGGGGGGCAAGCGUUAUCCGGAAUUAUUGGGCGUAAAGAGUGCGUAGGUGGUUUUCUAAGCGAGGGGUGAAAGGCAGUGGCUCAACCAUUGUUAGCCUUUCGAACUGGAUGACUUGAGUGCAGGAGGGGAAAGCGGAAUUCCUAGUGUAGCGGUGAAAUGCGUAGAUAUUAGGAGGAACACCGGUGGCGAAGGCGGCUUUCUGGACUGUAACUGACACUGAGGCACGAAAGCGUGGGGAGCAAACAGGAUUAGAUACCCUGGUAGUCCACGCCGUAAACGAUGAGCGCUAGGUGUCGGGGCCUAUAAAGCCUCGGUGCCGAAGUUAACGCAUUAAGCGCUCCGCCUGGGGAGUACGCACGCAAGUGUGAAACUCAAAGGAAUUGACGGGGACCCGCACAAGCAGCGGAGCAUGUGGUUUAAUUCGAAGCAACGCGAAGAACCUUACCAGGGCUUGACAUCCUGCUGACAGGCGUGUAACGGCGCCCUUCUUCGGACAGCAGUGACAGGUGGUGCAUGGUUGUCGUCAGCUCGUGUCGUGAGAUGUUGGGUUAAGUCCCGCAACGAGCGCAACCCUUGUCGUUAGUUGCCAUCAGGUUAUGCUGGGCACUCUAGCGAGACUGCCGGGGACAACUCGGAGGAAGGUGGGGAUGACGUCAAGUCAUCAUGGCCCUUACGACCAGGGCUACACACGUGCUACAAUGGCCGGUACAAUGGGAUGCAAUACGGCGACGUGGAGCAAAUCACCAAAACCGGUCCCAGUUCGGAUUGCAGGCUGAAACUCGCCUGCAUGAAGUCGGAGUUGCUAGUAAUCGUGAAUCAGAAUGUCACGGUGAAUACGUUCCCGGGCCUUGUACACACCGCCCGUCACACCAUGGAAGUUGGGGGCGCCCGAAGUAGGCAGUUUAAUAUGUUUCCUAAGGCGAAAUCAAUGACUGGGGUGAAGUCGUAACAAGGUAACCGUAUCGGAAGGUGCGGUUGGAUCACCUCCUUU
rnacentral:rRNA from 1 species